rnacentral:rRNA from 1 species
GACGAACGCUGGCGGCGUGCUUAACACAUGCAAGUCGAACGGAAAGGCCCUACUUUCUUGGUGUGCUCGAGUGGCGAACGCGUGCGUAACACGUGAGUAACCUGCCCUAGUCUUUGGGAUAACUUCACGAAACUGGGCCUACUCCCGGAUAGGAGAUCCUGUACCAUGGUGGGGGUUGGAUAGUCUCGGCGGUUGGGGAUGGACUCGCGGCUUAUCAGCUUGUUGGUGGGGUAGUGGCAUACCAACGCUUUGAAGGGUAGCCGGCCUGUGAGGGUGACCGGCCACAUUGGGACUGAGAUACGGCCCAGGCUGCUACGGGAGGCAGCAGUGGGGAAUAUUGCACAAUGGGCGGAAGCCUGAUGCAGCAACGCCGCGUGCGGGAUGACGUCCUUCGGGUUGUAAACCGCUUUCGCCUGUGACGAAGCGUGAGUGACGGUAAUGGGUAAAGAAGCACCGGCUAACUACGU